CGAGCGCAGGCGGUUAGAUAAGUCUGAAGUUNAAGGCUGUGGCAUAGUAUGCUUUGGAAACUGUUUAACUUGAGUGCAGAAGGGGAGAGUGGAAUUCCAUGUGUAGCGGUGAAAUGCGUAGAUAUAUGGAGGAACACCGGUGGCGAAAGCGGCUCUCUGGUCUGUAACUGACGCUGAGGCUCGAAAGCGUGGGGAGCAAACAGGAUUAGAUACGGUNGUAGUCCACGCCGUUAACGAUGAGUGCUAGGUGUUAGGCCCUUUCCGGGGCUUAGUGCCGCAGCUAACGCAUUAAGCNCUCCGCCUGGGGAGUACGACCGCAAGGUUGAAACUCAAAGGAAUUGACGGGGGCCGCAC
rnacentral:rRNA from 1 species